GACGAACGCUGGCGGCGUGCCUAACACAUGCAAGUCGAACGGGGUGAUUCCUUCGGGGAUCACUUAGUGGCGAACGGGUGAGUAACGCGUGAGAAACCUGCCUUUCAGUGGGGGACAACAGUUGGAAACGACUGCUAAUACCGCAUAAUGUUUCGAGAGGGCAUCCUCUUGAAACCAAAGCUUUAUGUGCUGAAAGAUGGUCUCGCGUCUGAUUAGCUAGUUGGUGAGGUAACGGCUCACCAAGGCGACGAUCAGUAGCCGGUCUGAGAGGAUGAACGGCCACAUUGGGACUGAGAUACGGCCCAGACUCCUACGGGAGGCAGCAGUGGGGAAUAUUGGGCAAUGGGGGAAACCCUGACCCAGCAACGCCGCGUGAAGGAAGAAGGCCUUCGGGUUGUAAACUUCUUUUACCAGGGACGAAGAACGUGACGGUACCUGGAGAAAAAGCAACGGCUAACUACGUGCCAGCCGCCGCCGUAAUAC
rnacentral:rRNA from 1 species